CUCAUUUAGUGAGGGAACAAAGAGGAGAGGAGAGGAGAGGAGAGGAGAGGAGAGGAGAGGAGACAAAACAACCCUAAUCCUUAAAUAUCAACAUAACAUCAAUAUCAAAAACUAAAAGGUCAGGUAGCUUGUGGUGCAGCAUUCAUGUAAAACUGAGGAGGAUCUGGAGAUCUCACCGAACAACCACAUUUACCACCAAAAUGGAAUAACAAUUGUUUCCCCUGUGACGCACGCAGAGCGUCACGUGGGAAUGCGGCCUCAUUGCGCUCCCACUUAGAUGAUCA
rnacentral:lncRNA from 1 species